UACGUAGGAUCCAAGCGUUGUCCGGAUUUACUGGGUUUAAAGGGUGCGUAGGCGGAUAUGUAAGUCGUCGAUGAAAAGGUAGUGCUUAACACUGCCACUGUUGACGAUACCGUGUAUCUAGAGGAUAGGCGAGGUAGCUGGAAUGAGUGGUGUAGCGGUGAAAUGCGUAGAGAUCACUCAGAACACCGAUUGCGAAGGCAGGUUACUGGUCUAUAUCUGACGCUGAGGCACGAAAGCGUGGGGAUCAAACAGG
rnacentral:rRNA from 1 species